CUGAUGAGUACCACCCCCAACACGUGACUGAUGAGCACCGCCCCCAACACGUGACUGAUGAGCACCACCCCCAACACUUGACUGAUGAACAGCACCCCCAACACGUGACUGAUGAGCACCACCCUCACUACUUCCACAGUGCUGACUAUGCUUCCAAUAUCGGCUCCUCAAGCAGAAGUAGGCCACAGGCAUGCCAGCAGUCACACGGCUUUGGAACCACCAGAGGCGUCAUUCUACUCAUCUGGAAGACUGUAAAGAAAGACACUUACUGCGUAAGAAGGGCAGCUGAGAGCACACUGGUACUGUUGGUACUUUACAGCUGAGCAAGAUGAGGAACACAGGGUUCAGACACGAGAAAAAAGUCCCAAUAGAUGAACUUCUUCCGGUCUUGCAUGGCUUUGUAGCCCAUGCAGUGUUUGUUAUGACGGUUUGGAGGGUUUGAAAUAAAAAGCGUUGACUUUGAGU
rnacentral:lncRNA from 1 species